AUGGAAGCAGGGCGCCCACUUCUGGGCGGGAACCUAUGUAAAAGGGAGGGGAAGCAAGACACACCUCACACUUCCUUUGGUGGGAAAAGAAAGUCAAGAGGGCCCCGGGCCCGCUGGCGAACGGGAACUGAGGGCCCACAGCUUUCUAGAGAUCUAAGACCACAGCCUGGGGCAGGUGGUGCCAAGGUCUCAGGAGCUGAUGGUGAAAAUCCUAGGCACGCUGCCACCCAGGACCUCUUUCCACUUUAUAGCUCUAAACGGGAGAAAACCAAAACCUUAUGGUUCUGGACUCUUUCAGAUGGCGUUUAUUAUAACCCCAAAAUGGUCAUCAGCCCUGGAAGUGGGUGUGGGGGGCCGAUGGCCUCUGCAGAAAAGGGGAGCCUCAAGGGACCCCCGGUGCUGGGCCGCCCUUGGGCCCUGGUCAGGAAGCAGGUGUUCGUUCCCCAACACCCGCUGGAAGGAGCGCUCAUGGAGACUUGCCUCAUCUACUUUUUAUUAGAAGGAAAGAGGUCUUCCGUCUGUCUGGGAGGGAUCGAACCCAUGUCACGGCAGCAAAAUGUCAGAUCCUUAACCACGAAGCCGCCAGGGAACUCCUGGGUUGUUUCAAUCUUAAAGCACCAAAUGUCUCAACCAGGGGCUGUCAAGUGUGCAACAGAGAUGGGCCCACAAGGCGGGCGAGCCUCAGACCCGAGGGGACCAGCAGGUGACCUCACCUUGAUGAUUUUCUUCAGCGCAGCUGGCGUGUGGGUGGCCAGCGACCUCCGCUGCUUUGGCGUCUCCCCUCUCUUGAGAGGCGUGUUAGGAGGUAAGUUCUCAUCGAAUAACUCGGGCCUCAGACGCCCCCCGAAGGAGACCCGCCUCCUCUUCGGGGGCGCCCCCUCCGUCUUCUCUGGAAUAAGGGACACAGGCAUGAGAAAGGUCAUGAAAGCCGCAGCGGAGGUGCGCCUUGUUCCCACUUACCGCUGGAGGCGAACCGAUUCUAAGUUCGCUGCGACCGGACCCCAGAACCUGCGUUUUCAUGGGAUGUUGAUGGAGCUUCAAGGGCUCCUCAAAGAGCCAAGACGAACUCCCAAACACCAAGUCCCAACCCAACAGGAUCGGACUUUAAGGUUGACAAAGCCUGUGUGGACAGAGCUUCGUCAAGGGUGUGGCCUGAAGCAGUGGCCCCCACUGUGGAGCAGGGGGUGUCGGAGCAGCAGAAGCCUGAGAAAGCUUUGCCAAAGCCACGCUCAGGCCUCACCCAGACCUGCCCGGGGAGCAGAACCCACGAGCUGGAAACUGCUCCCGGUGAUAGUGACCGAUGGGCAAUUGUAUUUAUUUAUUUGUCUUUUUAGGGCCGCAUUCGUGGCAUAUGGAGCUUCCCAGGCUAGGGGUCAUAUCAGAGCUGUAGCCGCUGACCUACAUACGUCACCACCACAGCCACACGGGAUCAGAGCCGCGUCUGCGACCUACACCACACCUCAUGGCAACAUCAGAUCCUUAACCCACUGA
rnacentral:lncRNA from 1 species